AAUAAAAGUUUAGAUAUCUCUUUGAAGGCGGUUAUCAUUCUAUAUUUAUAGAUGGCUCGCGCCUUAUUUCUCAGAUCCAAUCGUCUACGAUCAGCUCCUGCCUUAGCUCUUUUGAUAAUCGAAUAGAUCGUUUUCUGAUCUAUGUUUUGAGCAUGGUUUCUCUCAUGUUGGAUUCAUGCGAUAUCUCUGCUAUUUCGGCUAUGAGUUUGCUUGCUGUUAGAGCUGUAGAAAAUUUUGAAGCAAAAUUAAGCUCAAAUCAGCUGGAUCUAUGGAGGCUGAUACGCAGAUCUGCUGAAUUUCUAGCUACACGAGCUCAAAAUAGCUGAAUUAUUGAAGUCAAGGUUGAAAUCUCUUUACCUGGCCGAUGUUUUGAUUUUUUGGAUUCGUUUAUUUUACCAGCUAGCUGAGAUGGUUAAUUCAAUGGUUUUGUAAUGGACGGAUUCGAACUCAGACCUUGUCGUACUUGAUCUGUUGAUAAUGGAUAUACCUGCUCCGCCAUUUAGUCUGAUGAUGGAUCACGAGGUGUUGGCUUUCCUGAAGAUUAUUAGGCAGUGGAUGAAAGGAUUGAAGUGGUUAAUUUAAUAUAUCUGAGGUUUGUUCUGUUGAUUAUAUUGAUGUCUUUGCUGCUGUUAUCCUGAUCUAUGUUUGAGGUUAAAUAUUAUAUUAUUGCGAUAGCGGUAGUAGGAUUGAUGUGGUGGUGAGGCUGAUGAGAAGAUGGAAGAGAGUGCGGUGGUUAGAUGUAUGUGAAUAUGAUGUUGCUGUGUGUUGUUUAUGUCUCUCGGCCUUUGCCAUGUCAGGUGCGCUUGCUUGGCAGGUCAAAAAAACUAAUAAAAUUUUAUUUUUGUGUCUAAGGGGGGAGAUGGCACGGGGAUAAUUUAUUUUUUAUUUAUUUGCCCGGCUCUCCCCCCUGUCUGUGUCUGUGCGUCUGGUCUCUUUUUUUUUUCUGUUCUCUCUCCCUGCUCUCUGCUCUCAUAUAUAUAUAUACACACACAUAUAAACACAUAUAUAUAUCUACCUAUCCUUGCUGGACGGCAUAUCAAUUCAACCAAGACAAUUGAGGCAACAUCAGCGACUCUGCAGGAAUGAAUUCUGAUCUUCAUCAUUCAUCAUUGGGAGGUAUAAUACUUGGACAAUGUCUUUUAAAUAUUCGUAACAGUUAAAACAACCUGAUCUUCAAUAUCUAACUUGACGAGAAGGCAAGUUGAUAGCCUUCUAUACCUUAUGCCGCAUUAGCCUCAUAUACACUUGCACACUGCACAACUUGGUUUAUUAAAGUUUCAAUGGAAUAUUAAAUGCUCUGGAUCGAUGGACUAAGAAAAGAUUCGGAAAUUCGUUAAAAUUUUAUAGCCUCUUCCACUUGCACACAACACAACACAGCCUGCUUUGUUUGAGUUUUAAUAAUAUUAUACAUGCCGACUACAAAAGAUGUAGAUUCUGGUUUGUAUUUUAGUGUCUCAUAUACACUUGCACGGCACAACAUAGCACUACAUUUGUUAAUAGUUUCAUUAACAUAUUGCAUGCUGUCUAACAAAAAAUUCAGAUACUGGUUUAAAUUUUAUGUGAUGUGCAUUAUUAAUCCAACAGAUUAAUAGAUCAUAUGAAUAAUGUUAUAUAGAACACCACCUGCAAGUUAUACCUGGAAUCACUCAUACUUGAGAUCCCAAGUCACAUAGCCAUCUUUUUUAUAGUGAUGAAACAAUAACAUUUUGGUAAAAGUUAAACUGAUUGUGGUCGUAUAAUAGUUCACAGUUUGUGGAUGUAUGUGGGAUAAUGCUCUUUCUUGAUUUCUUUUCAAAAAUAAAGGUUUUUGAAACUGUGACUGUGUUACUAAAUAACCAGUGCCAAGGAUAUUAUAGACCCAAAACGUAGGCAUGGUUCGUAUUGAAAUACUUCCAUAUUUUUCAUUAUCAACACAGAUCUCUUCAUUACUCAUUACGCCACCAUUUAAUGAUCAAUAAAGAUCCUUUUAAGAAUAUAAACCGUGCAACUUAAAGAAAACUAAGAGUUCAAAUGUUUAAUCUGUAGAUCACGGUAUCUAAUUUUUAUCAGCAUCGCAAUUUCAUUUGCUUCGUCUUCUAUUAUUUAAUUCCUUACUUGAAUUUUUAUUGCAAAUUUGUCGUGAUAAAAGUAUUUCACUUUUAGUUGCAAUGGUUUGGUUUCUCAAGCUAUCGUUCCCUCUAUUUUCAGUAUGUUUAUGUAGCUGAGGGAAUGAUAGUGUUUGAAGAGGUCCAUUGUGAUAUUGUUGUAGCAUUUAUAGUUGCUACUCUUGUAUAGAGUAUCAUCAUGUAUUUAGGAAAACAGAAUGGCAUUUUUAGUGUACCAGCUUCUGCUGGUAUUGCUGGUGAUUGUGCUUCAAGUUGAUGCAAGCCUGCGGCUCUUCUAUUUUGGCUCUGGUUUGUGGACGCUGCUUGGUCGCUUGGGAUUUUGUGUUUGCUUUGAAUGCAAGAGAGAUGCAUACUUUGUGGCGUUGCUAUGUCUGGCCUUUUAUAGAGGGUUUCAGUGCCGCUGUUGCAUCUGCAGUGGUGGUCUCUCAUAAUUGAACUGGUGUGUUUUUGUGAUUCUCAUUUGUUAUCAUAGUCGGUUCUACUUCCUUGGAACAAGAUCAAGAAGUUUUUUGCAAGUGUCAUAUAUGUACUCUCUUAACAUGCUAGUCUGUGCAAUCAGUACGUUGUGUGGACAGCCAAGUCAUUAAUGGUUGUAGAAGCUUUAAGGUGAUUAAUCUGAUCAUGUUGUGGAGCCAUGCUCUUCUAGAAAAGAGAACAUCAGCUAUGCACGUUGUCUGACAUCAAUCUUAAAGAAUGGUCCAUCUGAUGGUGUUUGUCUGCUACAAUUUAACAUCUCUACUCGGGUUCCAUGUUCAUCUAUCCGGCAUUGUUGUCUACUCUUGUUACAGGAAGUGUUUUAUCUUUGCAUCAGUCAUUCUGUUGAUAAUUUAAUUUAUUAGUUUCUACAGCUACUGUUAUCAGUCCGUCUUUUAUACGCUCCCCUCGAAGAAUGUUUAUUUUUGCAUAGUGCCUGUCUACCUGUUGAUUAAUGUUGGGAUGUCGCAUAUUACAUACAUUGUUUUUUGUUUUUUCUAUAAAAUUCUCUUUGAAGUACCACUCCACUCCAGUUAUGAAGUGAAUUAUCCGUAUGUCUUUUCUGCCCCAUAUAGUCUUGAACCGAUUGCGUAUGUCUUUUCUGCCCCUUAAUUAGUCUUGAACCGAUUGCGUAUGUCUUCUCUGCCCCUUAAUUAGUCUUGAACCGAUUUUGCCUUUGCUUGAGCUGCAGAAAAUUCCUAUGGCCACUGCUAAUGCAGGCACAAUUUGAGCAUAAUGAAGACUUGCUGUGCAUUUUAAGUCUCAAGUUGGUAUCUGGAGGUUUUCGUCUGCAAAAGACAAACUAGAGUGGAGCAUUUUAAAGUCAGGCUACUCCCCUUUUUUUGGUGAUUGAGGGUUCUUAGUUUUCACUGUUCCUUAAUAUUUAUUUUAUUUACUCUUCUAACUAGGUAUUUGGAUCUCCAAUUAAUAUCUGCUAUUAACUUGAGUUCAUUUUUAUUUUUCUAUUGACUUGGCUUCUUAGUUUUCUGACUAAUAAAUACUCGAGUUUAAUUUUUUUGUU